rnacentral:rRNA from 1 species
UACGUAGGUCCCAAGCGUUGUCCGGAUUCACUGGGUAUAAAGGGUGCGCAGGCGGUCUUGUGCGUCAGAGGUGAAAUAUCCGGGCUUAACCCGGAGGGUGCCUUUGAUACGGCAGGACUUGAGUACGAGAGAGGAUGAUGGAAUUCCUGGUGUAGCGGUGAAAUGCGUAGAUAUCAGGAGGAACACCGGUGGCGAAGGCGGUCAUCUGG